CCUACGGGAGGCUGCAGUGGGGAAUAUUGCACAAUGGGGGGAACCCUGAUGCAGCGACGCCGCGUGAGUGAAGAAGUAUUUCGGUAUGUAAAGCUCUAUCAGCAGGGAAGAAGAUGCCGGUACCUGACUAUGAAGCCCCGGCUAACUACGUGCCAGCAGCCGCGGUAAUACGGAGGGGGCAAGCGUUCUCCGGAUUUACUGGGUGUAAAGGGAGCGUAGGCGGGAGGGCAAGUCUGGAGUGAAAGCCCGGGGUCCAACCCCGGGUCUGCAUUGGAAACUGGCAUGCUAGAGUGCUGGAGAGGUAAGCGGAAUGCCUAGUGUAGCGGUGAAAUGCGUAGAUAUUGGGAAGAACACCAGUGGCGAAGGCGGCUUACUGGACAGUAACUGACGUUGAGGCUCGAAAGCGUGGGGAGCGAACAGGAUUAGAUACCCUAGUAGUC
rnacentral:rRNA from 1 species